rnacentral:lncRNA from 1 species
AUGGCAAACGCGGUAGUCUCAGACACCUCAAGUGACAGCAGAGUCUGGUGUGGAAGGUUUCUCCUGGAUGUCCUAGCAAGAAACAGCUGGAUUUUGGAUUCAGUGAAAGCUAUGGAGCCCACUCCCAAACAGCUGAGUAGCAAUGCAAGUGCUGUAGCUCAUCAAGGCAGGGAUCAACGCCGCGCCGGGCGCUGGCCCGUAUAGAAGA